rnacentral:rRNA from 1 species
AUACGGAGGGUGCAAGCGUUACUCGGAAUCACUGGGCGUAAAGCGCGCGUAGGCGGUCCGUUAAGUUAGAUGUGAAAGCCCCGGGCUUAACCUGGGAACUGCAUUUAAAACUGGCGGACUAGAGUUGAGUAGAGGGGAGUGGAAUUUCAGGUGUAGCGGUGAAAUGCGUAGAGAUCUGACGGAACACCAGUGGCGAAGGCGACUCCCUGGACUCGAACUGACGCUGAGGUACGAAAGCGUGGGUAGCAAACGGGAUUAGAAACCCCAGUAGUCC